rnacentral:rRNA from 1 species
CCUACGGGAGGCAGCAGUGAGGAAUAUUGGUCAAUGGCCGGAAGGCUGAACCAGCCAUGCCGCGUGAAGGUCAGUGCCCUAUGGGCGUUAAACUUCUUUUGUGCGGGAGCAAUAAUGGUCACGUGUGGCCAGACGAGAGUACCGUACGAAUAAGCAUCGGCUAACUCCGUGCCAGCAGCCGCGGUAAUACGGGGGAUGCAAGCGUUAUCCGGAUUUAUUGGGUUUAAAGGGUGCGUAGGCUGUGAGGUAAGUCAGCGUUGAAAUGCCCCCGCUCAACGGGGUGAAGUGCCAUUGAUACUGGCUGGCUGGAAUGCGGAUGCCGUGGGAGGAAUGUGUGGUGUAGCGGUGAAAUGCAUAGAUAUCACAAAGAACAUCGAUUGCGAAGGCAUUUUACGAAUCCGCGAUUGACGCUGAGGCACGAAAGCGUGGGUAUCAAACAGGAUUAGAUACCCCUGUAGUC